CUGUAGCAUUGAAUUAGAAGUUCAUAGAAUUCUUUCGUAAGCAACACAUAAAUGAUAUACAACAUGAACAUCUUUUCCAGGGGGGUAGGAAUGUUUAAUUAGAGUCAAUGAAGUCAAUGAUGAUCCAACUUGUUUACACAGGAAAAUAUCGACCACCAGCAACUUACACUCAAAUGGAGGACCUCCUCUUGGAAAUCUCCUUGGUGA
rnacentral:misc_RNA from 1 species